UCGGGGAAUUGUAAGUAGCAAUCUGCAGAUGAACCCACAGACCCAUGUGUCGUACGUUCGCUCAUUGGAGGUCCAAGAUGAUGAAGAAGAACAAGAAUUAAUGUGUAUCUCGCUGUGCAAUCUUGGGAAACCUCUGGCACUCAAAAUGUAUAAUCAGCAUCUCAGCGUCUCAUUACUCCUACAUUAACAGGUAUUCCAUUUUCUUAGAAAGGGCAGAUCAAAAUGUCAGGCCAGUCUGGAACGAAUCAAUAAUGAACGGAACCCAUCAUGUAAUUGAAUGCUCAUAUACUGCUCCUCCAUGGACGAUGCUUAAAGGCCCGGGCUAUGAUGAGGUGCAUGCGAAUUGAAGGGUCUGAUAAGAGAUUGAUGUUUCACACGUAUGGCGUACUUGAAUGCACUAGACGGGGGAAGAAGAUUCCACUGUGUGAAGGUCCUCUACAAACGGCGACAACAAAGAAAAGAAAAAUAGAUACAGUGUCGAAUUUUGAAAGAGAAAUGGACAAAUUAAUGUUUUGUUGAUGUCAAAGACAAAUCUGCUGGCCUAGUUAGUGACCAUGUGUUACAGGUAAUGAAAAAAGACAAUCUGGUACAUCAAUGAUGUUCAUUAUAUGCUAAAUUCAAUGAAAAGGGAGGCCAAAUGUGUCUGGAUAAAAUUAAUGAUAUGCCACUUUGACUAGGCCUCAUUGUGACGAAGAUGACAUUGUUUAGGGUUGUUGAAGUUGAUCAUUGUGCACGGCCUUUGACCUUGGAAGAUUAAACAUUUCCUACUCCUGUUUUAAAGAAAAGUUCUUGGGUGUAUUCACAUGAAAUAACUUUUCAAAAGCAUUUCGACACAUUUUCCACAUUCAUAUACCCAUAACACAUUAGGGUCAAUACAUUUUGUUUAUGUUUUAGCAGUAUUAAUCACACCCUUUUCAAAGCUCACUUGUGUUGCUUUAAAAAUAUGUGAGAUUUUUUUUAUAGACAUGAAUGGAGGGGGCGUGGCUUUAUGUCACGAACAAGGAAGCCCCAGGCUUGUGUGCUCAUAAACGCUGCAAGGCUCAUUGAUUGCUGAGUCCCCCUGCAAUCUCCAGGCAGGCCCUGUGACAUUUAGAUAGGGGAUUACAUGUCUAGUGGCAGAGUACCCCUUUAAUGCAACAUCAUGCUCAUCUUUCAAAAAUUAAGUGCAUCAUACAAACUGUUGCUCUUUUUGAUGUGAACUCCUUUAAAAAUGUUGUGUGAUUGUUUUGCGCCAAAACUCAUACCGGCAUAGGUAAUGCGUGUAACAUUUUGGUCAAAGUGUCUUUUUUUCCAUCAUAUUUGUAUCCUGCAUGGAAAGGUGACAUUUGCCAAUCCACAUCCAAAACUGUGGCUAAAUCUGUGGUAAAUGAGUGUGAAAUACAAGGGUACAACUACACUAUUGGUACAUGUCCUCAUUAUCUCACACUUGAACUACUGUAACAUUCUCCUCUGUGGUCUUCCAUUAAACAUACUUGCUCACCUCCAAUCAAUCCUCAACUCUGAUGCCUGACUAAUCCACCUCUGCGCUUACUUCUCCUCUACCUCUUCCCUCUGCCAAUUCCUUCACUGGGUAACUCUUACCAAAUUUAAAUUACUUUAAACUAUUCACCACAACAUACGAGGCCUGUCUCCCCCCCCCUCAUACAUCUAUGACCUGAUCUCCCCAUAUCGCCCCUCACAAAAUCUCUGAUUCUCUCAAGACCUCUGCCUAUGCUCUCCCCUUGCCCUCGCCUCACACAACCAUCUCCAAGACUUCUCCUGAGGUUCCCCAUACACUAGAACCCUCUACCCUGACUCAUCCGGCUCUAAAUCACCAUCAAGUCAUUCAAGAGCAACCUGAUGACCCAUCUCUACAAGCAAGCCUAGGACCUUCAAUAACCCUGCGGUCACUGCACUAUGAAUGGCUGCUUUACCACCUGCUCACAGAAGAUCAGUGGUCCCCGUCACCUACUGUUUCCUUCCCCUCUCCUUGUAGAUUGUAAGCCCUUGUGAGCAGUGUCCUCUCUCCCUCUAUAUCGGUCUGCAAUCUAGUCUGCCAUCUCCAUUGUAUGUCAGUGUUAUGUACUUAACCUUUAUCAGAUGUAAAGUGCCCUACAACCAAGGGCGCUAUUUAAAUAAAUAAAUAAUAAUAAUAAUACUUUGGAUUUCCGUUGUGUACUUUGUAUUUGUUUUGAUUAGAAAAUUGCGCUGCAGGAACUUUAACAUCACUGAUUAUAUCACCUACACU